AACUUAACCCAUCAAAUUUGGCAUUCAUGUGUAAGACAUGGACUUGACUUCAUUAAUUUUAGUCAUUUCUUCAUCAGAAAUUUUUGCACAAGAUGCAUGUAUCCACAAUGAACAGAUGUCGCAUAAAAUGCUAGAUUGACUGCCUAUGCAGAGAUUACAAUCGCCACACUUAUGAACUUUCUUACCCGGAGCCAUUAGAAAAGUAUAAUUGUUGUUAUAUUUAUAUGUAUGUAUGUGAGUAUAUUAGGUACACAAAAUGGCGCUAAAAAAGUCUUCAAAAAUAUAUACAGCAACAGUAGUAACAACAAUGCAACAGCAGCCUCCACAGGAAAUAAGUUGAACCAAAAACGUAUCAUCAGCAACAACAAUGUAACAGCAACCAUAACCAGGAAAAAAAUACCACCAAGAAAUUAAGGCAAAGAAUAUCACGACAGCAAAAAAUUCCAAGUAUUCCAAUUUAAAUAAUAAAAGAAAUAAAAAUUAACCAGCUGAUAUAAAAAAUCGCGUUCACUCAGGCAUAGCGUUGCCAGAUUAAAAAUCUUUGCGUUGCCAACUAUCUAAGUUUGUUUAUUUUCAAGAACAGGGUGCACACGACAUCAAUUAAACCAAUUUUAUUUUAUUUCGGGACUAUAUCUCGCAGUUGAAAACUAUCCAACACCAAAAAACGCU